GCCAGGCUUGGUGGCGUGUGCCUGUAAUCCCAGCUACUCAGGAGGCUGAGGUGGGAGAAUCACUUGAACCCGGGAUGCAGAGGUUGCAGUGAGCCAAGAUUGGGCCACUGCACUCCAGCCUUGGUAAUAGAGUGAGACCCUAUCUCAA
ensembl:misc_RNA Metazoa_SRP Metazoan signal recognition particle RNA